UACGUAGGGGGCAAGCGUUGUCCGGAAUCAUUGGGCGUAAAGAGCGUGUAGGCGGUUCGAUAAGUCUGCUGUGAAAGUCCAGGGCUCAACCCUGGGAUGCCGGUGGAUACUGUCGGGCUAGAGUACGGAAGAGGCGAGUGGAAUUCCCGGUGUAGCGGUGAAAUGCGCAGAUAUCGGGAGGAACACCUAUUGCGAAGGCAGCUCGCUGGGACGUCACUGACGCUGAGACGCGAAAGCGUGGGGGAGCAAACAGG
rnacentral:rRNA from 1 species